rnacentral:rRNA from 1 species
AACGAACGCUGGCGGCAUGCCUAACGCAUGCGAGUCGAACGAGACCUUCGGGUCUAGUGGCGCACGGGUGCGUAACGCGUGGGAACCUGCCCUUAGGUUCGGAAUAACUCCCCGAAAGGGGUGCUAAUACCGGAUAAUGUCUUCGGACCAAAGAUUUAUCGCCUUUGGAUGGGCCCGCGUUGGAUUAGCUAGUUGGUAGGGUAAAAGCCUACCAAGGCGACGAUCCAUAGCUGGUCUGAGAGGAUGAUCAGCCACACUGGGACUGAGACACGGCCCAGACUCCUACGGGAGGCAGCAGUGGGGAAUAUUGGACAAUGGGCGAAAGCCUGAUCCAGCAAUGCCGCGUGAGUGAUGAAGGCCUUAGGGUUGUAAAGCUCUUUUACCCGGGAUGAUAAUGACAGUACCGGGAGAAUAAGCGCCGGCUAACUCCGUG